rnacentral:lncRNA from 1 species
AAAUAGGUUUACUCCAAAUAUAGAGUAAUUUGUUUUUUUUUGUUCAUCACUUUUUUUUCUACUCUAAAAUAGAGUAUUAUUGGAGCAAAUUUAAACUCUAUUAUAAAAUUAUUGUAUUUUAAAAAAUAGAGUAAGCCAUUGGAGAUGGUCUAAGAAAAAACAAGAACAUAGACAUUGAGACUUGAGAGUCCCGUCAACCAACGCAUAAACUCUGAGAUCCGUCUCUGUUCGAGAGAUGAGAUCAUUGUAACAUGUGUUUGGUUCACAAAUUCAAAGAUAGAUCUUGAAAGUGGGCCCCGAAAAGUUUGCAUUGACGCGGCCUACAAUGACGUAAUUGCACACAACACACUUUCAGCACCCAAAACUCUUUUGUCAUUUUUAGGAUAUACUUUUGUCAUAUUUGUACCCUUUAUAUCUUAAAGCUCUAUAUAGGAAGAUUGAAAAAAAACUCCAAAAUGGGAAGAAACGAGUCUCAAUAGUGGUUGUGGUAAUACAGGCUGUUUUUUCUUAAAUUAAGACAUGGUUUUAUGUAAAGUUGUUUGAUGGAUGUAUUAUUCUAGUAAUUGCAAAAUUAUAAGAGUUAGCCUGG